GAUGAACGCUGGCGGCGUGCCUAAUACAUGCAAGUCGAGCGAACGGAUGAGAAGCUUGCUUCUCUGAUGUUAGCGGCGGACGGGUGAGUAACACGUGGAUAACCUACCUAUAAGACUGGGAUAACUUCGGGAAACCGGAGCUAAUACCGGAUAAUAUUUUGAACCGCAUGGUUCAAAAGUGAAAGACGGUCUUGCUGUCACUUAUAGAUGGAUCCGCGCUGCAUUAGCUAGUUGGUAAGGUAACGGCUUACCAAGGCAUCGAUGCAUAGCCGACCUGAGAGGGUGAUCGGCCACACUGGAACUGAGACACGGUCCAGACUCCUACGGGAGGCAGCAGUAGGGAAUCUUCCGCAAUGGGCGAAAGCCUGACGGAGCAACGCCGCGUGAGUGAUGAAGGUCUUCGGAUCGUAAAACUCUGUUAUUAGGGAAGAACAUAUGUGUAAGUAACUGUGCACAUCUUGACGGUACCUAAUCAGAAAGCCACGGCUAACUACGUG
rnacentral:rRNA from 1 species